rnacentral:rRNA from 1 species
UCUGGUGGCCUCAGGUCAUCCGAGUUGUAAUCUAUAGAAGUGUUUUCCGUGCUGGCUCAUGUACAAGUCCCUUGGAACAGGGCGUCAUAGAGGGUGAGAAUCCCGUCCUUGACAUGAACUACCAGUGCUCUGUGAUACAUUUUCAACGAGUCGAGUUGUUUGGGAAUGCAGCUCAAAAUGGGUGGUAAAUUCCAUCUAAAGCUAAAUAUUGGCGAGAGACCGAUAGCGAACAAGUACCGUGAGGGAAAGAUGAAAAGCACUUUGGAAAGAGAGUUAAACAGUAUGUGAAAUUGUUGAAAGGGAAACGAUUGAAGUCAGUCGUGCUCUUUGGAUUCAGCCGGUUCUGCCGGUGUACUUCCUUUGAGUGGGGUCAACAUCAGUUUUGAUCGCUGGAUAAAGGCAGGAGGAACGUAGUACCCUCGGGUAAACUUAUAGCCUCUUGUCACAUACAGUGGUUGGGACUGAGGAACGCAGCACGCCUUUAUGGCCGGGAUUCGUCCACGUACGUGCUUAGGAUGUUGACAUAAUGGMUUUAAACGACCCGUCUUG